UAGGGAAUCUUCGGCAAUGGACGAAAGUCUGACCGAGCAACGCCGCGUGAGUGAAGAAGGUUUUCGGAUCGUAAAACUCUGUUGUUAGAGAAGAACAAGGACGUUAGUAACUGAACGUCCCCUGACGGUAUCUAACCAGAAAGCCACGGCUAACUACGUGCCAGCAGCCGCGGUAAUACGUAGGUGGCAAGCGUUGUCCGGAUUUAUUGGGCGUAAAGCGAGCGCAGGCGGUUCCUUAAGUCUGAUGUGAAAGCCCCCGGCUCAACCGGGGAGGGUCAUUGGAAACUGGGAGACUUGAGUGCAGAAGAGGGGAGUGGAAUUCCAUGUGUAGCGGUGAAAUGCGUAGAUAUAUGGAGGAACACCAGUGGCGAAGGCGGCUCUCUGGUCUGUAACUGACGCUGAGGCUCGAAAGCGUGGGGAGCAAACAGG
rnacentral:rRNA from 1 species